rnacentral:piRNA from 1 species
AAAGUUCUUGAUAUUUUUGGUGUCUU